GGUAUGGGAUGAGCUUGCGUCCGAUUAGCUAGUUGGCGGGGCAACGGCCCACCAAGGCGACGAUCGGUAGCCGGCCUGAGAGGGUGAUCGGCCACAUUGGGACUGAGAUACGGCCCAGACUCCUACGGGAGGCAGCAGUAGGGAAUAUUGCACAAUGGGGGAAACCCUGAUGCAGCAACGCCACGUGUGGGAAGAAGCAUUUCGGUGUGUAAACCACUGUCAUGAGGGAAUAAGGCCCGCCUUCGGACGGGAUUGAAUGUACCUUGAGAGGAAGCACCGGCAAACUUCGUGCCAGCAGCCGCGGUAAUACGAGGGGUGCAAGCGUUGUUCGGAAUUACUGGGCGUAAAGGGAGCGUAGGCGGAGAUUCAAGCGAAUUGUACAAUCCCGGGGCCCAACCCCGGCUCUGCAGUCCGAACUGGAUCUCUUGGAUAGUUCAGGGGCAGGC
rnacentral:rRNA from 1 species